AGAGUUUGAUCCUGGCUCAGGAUGAACGCUAGCGGCAGGCUUAACACAUGCAAGUCGAGGGGCAGCAUAAUGGAUAGCAAUAUCUAUGGUGGCGACCGGCGCACGGGUGCGUAACGCGUAUGCAACCUACCUUUAACAGGGGGAUAACACUGAGAAAUUGGUACUAAUACCCCAUAAUAUCAUAGAAGGCAUCUUUUAUGGUUGAAAAUUCCGAUGGUUAGAGAUGGGCAUGCGUUGUAUUAGCUAGUUGGUGGGGUAACGGCUCACCAAGGCGACGAUACAUAGGGGGACUGAGAGGUUAACCCCCCACACUGGUACUGAGACACGGACCAGACUCCUACGGGAGGCAGCAGUGAGGAAUAUUGGUCAAUGGACGCAAGUCUGAACCAGCCAUGCCGCGUGCAGGAUGACGGCUCUAUGAGUUGUAAACUGCUUUUGUACGAGGGUAAACGCAGAUACGUGUAUCUGUCUGAAAGUAUCGUACGAAUAAGGAUCGGCUAACUCCGUGCCAGCAGCCGCGGUAAUACGGAGGAUUCAAGCGUUAUCCGGAUUUAUUGGGUUUAAAGGGUGCGUAGGCGGUUUGAUAAGUUAGAGGUGAAAUUUCGGGGCUCAACCCUGAACGUGCCUCUAAUACUGUUGAGCUAGAGAGUAGUUGCGGUAGGCGGAAUGUAUGGUGUAGCGGUGAAAUGCUUAGAGAUCAUACAGAACACCGAUUGCGAAGGCAGCUUACCAAACUAUAUCUGACGUUGAGGCACGAAAGCGUGGGGAGCAAACAGGAUUAGAUACCCUGGUAGUCCACGCAGUAAACGAUGAUAACUCGUUGUCGGCGAUACACAGUCGGUGACUAAGCGAAAGCGAUAAGUUAUCCACCUGGGGAGUACGUUCGCAAGAAUGAAACUCAAAGGAAUUGACGGGGGCCCGCACAAGCGGAGGAACAUGUGGUUUAAUUCGAUGAUACGCGAGGAACCUUACCCGGGCUUAAAUUGCAAAUGAAUUAUGGGGAAACCCAUAGGCCGUAAGGCAUUUGUGAAGGUGCUGCAUGGUUGUCGUCAGCUCGUGCCGUGAGGUGUCGGCUUAAGUGCCAUAACGAGCGCAACCCUUAUCUUCAGUUACUAACAGGUCAUGCUGAGGACUCUGGAGAGACUGCCGUCGUAAGAUGUGAGGAAGGUGGGGAUGACGUCAAAUCAGCACGGCCCUUACGUCCGGGGCUACACACGUGUUACAAUGGGGGGUACAGAAGGCCGCUACCUGGUGACAGGAUGCCAAUCCCAAAAACCUCUCUCAGUUCGGAUCGAAGUCUGCAACCCGACUUCGUGAAGCUGGAUUCGCUAGUAAUCGCGCAUCAGCCAUGGCGCGGUGAAUACGUUCCCGGGCCUUGUACACACCGCCCGUCAAGCCAUGGGAGCCGGGGGUACCUGAAGUACGUAACCGCGAGGAGCGCCCUAGGGUAAAACUGGUGACUGGGGCUAAGUCGUAACAAGGUAGCCGUACCGGAAGGUGCGGCUG
rnacentral:rRNA from 1 species